rnacentral:rRNA from 1 species
UACGGAGGAUGCAAGCGUUAUCCGGAUUUAUUGGGUUUAAAGGGUGCGUAGGCGGGACUGUAAGUCAGGGGUGAAAUACUGCAGCUUAACUGUAGCAUUGCCUUUGAAACUGCCGUUCUUGAGUACAGUUGAGGUAGGCGGAAUGUGGUGUGUAGCGGUGAAAUGCAUAGAUAUACCACAGAACGCCGAUUGUGAAGGCAGCUUACUAAGCUGUUACUGACGCUGAGGCACGAAAGCGUGGGGAUCAAACAGGAUUAGA